AGCAUGCAUAGCCAUGGUGACAUAGCCACAGCUAAAGGGAUCCUUCCACCUUCAGUGGUGUGACUGAGGAGCUACCUCAGGCCAUCGUGUGAAGAGAAAUAAGCUAGGUGAUGCAGGGCAACAGUUUUCACAGGCAUCAUGCCGGUGUGGCAUCUUCUCUUAGGACCUACAAGAAGCUGAAAGUGUCGUUGGGCAAUGGUGGCACGCACUCUUAAUCCCAGCGCUAGGGAGGCAGAGGCAGGUGGAUCUAUGUGAGUUUGAGGCCAGCCUGGUCUACAAAGCUGUUUCUAAGCAGUGCAAUUAGUAGCGCUUGCCUGUCCUAGAUGCCUCAGCUCUUUGAUCUUGAUAGGCUAAUGGCGACCGCCAGGAGUAUUCAAACAGGACGCUGCCUGUCAGCUUCCAGAUUCCCUUGUCAGGAACCUGUUUUGAGGCCAUCAAGUGACUUCUUGAAUAUGACCCUGUGCCCCUAAACUCUUUUUAACCAUCAUUUCCCUUCGGGUUUCUUUCCUUUUUUCUCCAUGUUUGUCCUGGUAGGGCAUAAACCAGAUCAAGCCUGAGGCUCACGAUGUGAUUCCACCAUGAAUUUCUUCUGUGUGUCUCUCUUUCUUCUUAAGGUGAUCAGGCAAGCCAAAAGGACACUCUCUUCUUCUCCUGCUGUCUUGAGCACCUUGUGUUGUUCGCUCAGCACGAUUCCGUCUUAGCAAUAAAUCCCCGACAAGGAUGUUGUGAUCUCUCUGAUUUAAUCGGCAUUAAACCCUCUGAGUCCUCAUAUCCUUCCUCUCCCAUUUCUUAAAAUAGUCUGCAGCACUCAAGUCAAGCAUCCUAUCGACUUCCUUGUUUCUAAUAUUGCAUAAUCCUGCAAGAACACUUUCCCCUAUUCUCCUUAAGGAGCACACAUAAUCAAAACGUUCUCACACGAGAACCUGUGGGUCGGGUGGUCCAGGCAGCCCUGAGGUUAGUGGGGCACAUUGCUGCCCGGAUGACCUGAGCGCUUGCUAGAUUGAAGGGAUGUUUCCUAUCCCUUCGCUGCUUAACUGGCUUAGAAAGUAAGUCUCUGCCUUUGCUUUAUUUGUCUCUCAGGGUGGGAUGAAGGCAGAGGAGUUGAAUUGUGGGCAUCGCCACAAUUCUGGGCUCUUGUUUCAGUUCUUACAGGAAGCGUUGAGGUUUGAGUCAGCUUGGCAGGGAGGAAGCUUCACUAAGGGAGCACGGGGAUUUGAGAUUUGGGGACUGUUUUCAAGAGAGGCCUGGGGUUGUGCUCACUCUCCCUUGCCCCACACUUGGGUCACUGUGGAUCUGGAGUGGUCACAGUAUUUCAGUCUCUAUCAGAGAAACCAAACCCUUUGUAGGACCUGCUUUGAGCUAAGGAAAAAUGGUGGGUGGAACAGUGUUCAGCAGGCACCGAGAGCACCUCCCGAAUGACGAGAUCCAAAGACACGGGGAUGGGGUCUCAGGCCAGACUCGGCAGAGGGGAUGCACUUUAUGAUCCAUCUGCCUUGUUUGCAGCACGUACCCUCGGUAUUUGGGUCUCAGGACCAGUUUAACUCACCUGCAUGAACCCAGUCAUGCUGUGAUGAGAAUAAAAUGAGCAGAAGACAGCGUAUCCCAUGCCUCUCUCUGGCCCUGCCGUUGUCAGACAAUCCAGCUACCUCUUGGGAACUGCCGUUUCUAUCAGACACUAUUGCUAUUGCGUGGGGCCUUUUAUCUGAGCUGUAGCAUUGAUCCUCUAAGAUGGGUGCGGUAAUUAGCCGUGCUACAGAUGAAGAAGUAGAGGCUCACAGAAGACGUCUGGCUCUUCACAUAUGAAUAUGAAUUCAGCCCCUGGUGACAACAACCUGUAAAGAUGUAAUUCCGUAUCCAGUCUCGCCCCGAGCAGAAUGCACAGGGAGAUAUGACUUUAAAGUAGUGUUCAAGCACACACAUACUUUCUGCAUGUUUUUUGGAAUCUGAGACUAAAUUCUAGAUGGGCUCUUAGCCUGUCACGCAGGGAUGGAGACUCCGGGAUGGAGGGAGCAGGACAGAGGCGUGGAAACCCUCUCACCCUGAGAAGACACCGUUUCUGGGGAUGAUGCGGCUGUCCAAUGGGUGUUGGAGAGCCAGAAGGCAGAUUCAAAGCGUUUGCGUUACCCCGCCCUCUCUACCUGCAAUUGAAAGCAGCCUCCGCUUUGGCCUGUAGAUGGCAGCCUAGGCUCAAUUGAACCCAAGCCUGGUUUGGUUUGGUUUGGUUUUGGGGUGCCCCAAUUCCCACCAGCUGAGAAUCACUUUCAGGGGGAGGCUUGGGGGUGUUAUAAACUGCUGGUGCAUGGGACUGGGCCUCGGAGACUCUGAUAGUGAUGAUCUCGUGGGUGACCGGGGCAAUUUGCUGUUGUUGGGUAUUUGCUUCCUUGCUCGCUCGCUUGCUUGGAGACAGAUGUUUGCUAUGUUGCUUCUGCUGGCAUCUAAAUCCUGGAAUCAAGUAAUCCUCCUGCCUCAGCCUCCCAGGUAGCUGGGAGUAAGAAUGCAUUUAUCCCACAGUGCCUGACCAUAAACGUCGUGUUUUACAAAGCUCCACAGCCGACUCUCCACCAAGGUUAGGAGUGACGGUUUGCACGCUGGGCGCCGUGGUUCCUGUGGGUUUGGUGGGCUGCUCAUUUGACGUCCUUUCCUUGCUGUACCUUGUGGAGCCUGGGCCCACAGAAAGAGAGGAGGACAAUGAGAAGGGGCGUCAUGUGGAGGAAUGAAGAAUACAGUCCAGACGGGAGAGAAAAUAAAGGAGGUUCUUCUCAGGCUGAGAGGAAGGAGCCUAAAGGGAGCCUGCUCGGCGAUUAAAACCCGUUUCCUUCCUUACAGAAAAGAACUACGCCAUGUAGAAGACUAAGGAUUGUUCUAGAAAGCUAGAAAACCUGCCCCUUCUACUGACCAGAGCUUUAACAUGAAUCCUGGUAGGGGCGCUGUGGACUUCAGGGCUUUGGGGGGGGGGGAGGACCUGGCCAGGCAGGGAAGUGGCAAGGAGUGGUAAGGGGUGUGGACAGCAGAAGUGGCUUCACAGAGAAAGUGGCGUCUUCCCAUGUGGACAUAUAUCCUGUGAGGCAUUAGCUGCUACAAAUGGUCCUCUCUUCCCAAUAGCUUCAUGCACAAGAAUGGAGGCUGGCUAGUCCAGUGCCUUCACGAAGAGGAACAGCAAGGGACCUGUUGCCAUAGCAACUCAUCAGGCACAGUCACACCACCAUGUCCCAAUUCUCAUCUUUGGGCAAAGCCUCAUCAUUGAGCAUCCCCCCCCCAAAAAAAAAAUCAUACUGAAUACGCAAAACUCCACGAUGAACAAAAUUUUAAAUUGAGACACGAUCCCUAUCUCCAGCUUUCCCUUUUACCUCAACUUGAAUAGCCAACAGCAUCGCUGUGGCACUUUCUAAUGAAUGCAGGCUGCAGUGGUGGGGAGCCCUGACGCUGUCCAGCCCACAUGCUUUCCGGAGCCACUUACAGCACCUGUGGAAUGUGAGUUAUCACAGAUCUGUGAUGCUGUCCGCUGAGAUAAAUUCUUUCCUCUUCAGUUUGCUUUUGGCCCUGGUGUCUUAUCACAGCCGUAGAAAGCAAGCCAAGAGAGAAACUGACAACCUAUAUUUUUACUUAAGAUUCCAGUAGGUCUUCCGGUCAUGAAAGCCUGGGUGAGUGGAUCUCUAGGAAUGCUUGUGGUUAUAGUAAUGACCACCGGCAUUGCCAGUUGGAAAAGCGAAACAAACAAAAACUUUACUUUCUUUUGCAAAAGUUUAUUUUAAUUGAUUGAAAACCACAUUACUCAUUAGGAACCCUGUGGUGUCUCAACCCACUGCACACUUGCAUAAUGUACCAAUAGUUCCAGAUCUGUGGGAACUGUGCUCCUAGCGGAGCAGUGGUGCCACCUAGUGGGAGAGUCUGGUACCGAGCACUCAAGGAUAACGCCAAACACAGCAUGACGUCCUGGAGCCUCGGCUUCAGCGCAGGUCUCUGGUAAGGGAGGCCAUGCUUAGGAACUUACACCGUGGUCGUUGAGAUGGAGCAGAUGGGAGACUGUGUGGACAGACGGGUCAGGAGGUAAGGGAGUAGGUAGGCGGGGUGUCCCCAAGGUAGAAAAGUCUCGUGACACAGCCACACACAGAUAGGGUGACCCUGAGACAGACUCUUAGCCCCUACUUUCCCAUCAGUGGAAGUGAGAGAGACCGAGACAAUAGAGAAUGUAUCUCUAACCUCUAUUAUCUUCACUUCACCUACUUGGGACAAAUAUGAGAAAAUCAAGUCCCCAGAGUCUUUGAAAACACAGGGUAUCAGGGUAGGCACUGGAAAUACAAAGAUAGGUAAGAUAGAAAGUUCGAUCGAAGUUGACCUGGGUACUGAAGUGGCUGAGGGGGGAGCAGGGAAAAGUCAAGGCCUGGUAAGCUACAGAGUGGGUUCAAAGCCAGCCUGAGCAACUCAGUGAGACCUUGUCACAAAAUAAAAAUAAAAAGUAAAUCAUAGGCUGGGGAUACAGCUUAGUUAUGAAGUCUCUGUGUAGCUUGUGUGAGGUCCAGAUUUGACCUCCAUGAUUGAAGACAGGGGCUGCUUCCAGAAACAUGUCAGAAUGUGCACUGGUGGCUGAGCUGGUGUGAAAAGACAGCCUAGCGGUGCGAGAAUUUCAGCAAACGGAAAGUGACCGUGUUUGCGGGGAAUCAAGUGAGGGUACUUUUCUUCUGUCACAGGUGGGAUGCAGCGUGAUCGUAACAGAGGCCAUGCGUGUUUGGGUAGAACUGUGGAGGGUCACACAGGUUUCACGCCGGCCUCUGAGGAGAUCUCCGUUGUGCUACACAGACUCAGCUGUGAGCUUGGACACUGUAUAUCGUUCCCAUUUUACUGUGGCUCACUUUACUCGAGUGGGAAAAGAAGAUGCGUUCCGGAGAAAUCAUACUUGGACUUGGAGAUUUUGAUCCUUUCCUGGGCUGGCCACACGGAUCUUUGAUGCCUUUUCAUCUAGGGUAGCAGCAGCAAGCUGUUCCCAGGGAGCCCCAUGGCCAUGAAGUAACUGGUCCUACUGUGUUCCCAGGGAGCCCCAUGGCCAUGAAGUGACUGGUCCUAUUGUGUUCCCAGGGAGCCCCAUGCCAUGAAGUGACUGGUCCUACUGUGUUUCCAGGGAGUCCCAUGGCCAUGAAGUGACUGGUCCUACUGUGUUCCGGGCAAAUGAGCCAAGAUGCUUGCCAGACUGGGAUGUCAAGCACACCCUCGACUGCUGCUGGCUUUUCAUUUAUGACGGCUAUGGCCCAGGUGCUCUUGAACCAAACAGCUAGUAAAGUCACGUGCAUCUCAGAGCA
rnacentral:sRNA from 1 species